AAGUCCCAUACCUGUAAAAAUUAUGAAAGUCCUGUAAAAGUAUACUGUAAAAUAUACUGUAUAUAUACUAUAUAAUAAAAUACUGUAUAAUACCUGUAAAAGUCGUAAUCAGUCGUUCGAGGCGAGCGGACGUCGAUAUCACAGCAGAACUCAGAUAACGAAAUUUUCUUGUUUCAUCAUCCUAAAAUUCAAGUUUAAAACUUUCAUUUAAAUUAUUAUUCAUUAAUUGUGAUGGCGCAGUGUUAUUAUUGCAACAGUUCUCUGCCAGCAUCAGGUGACGUCGUUACUUGUUUUGGGUGUAAUAAUAAAUUUCAUUUCGGGUGCAGUCUCAAAGAAUCUACAUAUCGUCGUAUGUCGGAGGACGAGCGAAAGAAAUGGCGUUGUUUCCAUGUGUGUAAAAACUCGAAAGGGGCAACAGGGAUCGCAUCUCCAGGUAAUGAAACCCCUAGAGAUAAUAUUAAUGAAGCGGAAAUUCGUACAAUACUCCAUUCUUUGAACACUAUAUUAGCAAGUAUUGAAACGACUGUUAAUUCUGUACAGGCGAGUCAGGUGUUUAUCUCCUCUAAAUAUGAUGAACUUCUCAAUGAGAUAAAAGUGCUACGUACCGAAAAUAAAAGCUUGACUAGUGAGAUUGCCAAACUGAACAAACAAAUUAGCGCUAAGGAUAUUAUCAUUAACGAUCUUAGUAUGCAGAUUAAUGAACUUGAACAAUACGGUAGAAAAAAUAACUUGGAAAUUCACUGUCUUGAUGCAACUCAUAGGUCUCCGCUCGAGGAUUUGAAACACAUAGCUGAGAAAAUAGACUUGAACUUUAGAGAAAGUGAUGUGAGUGCUACUCAUAGACUACCUGUCCGAAAAUCCACCGCAAAUUCAUCAGAAAAUGCUCCUGUGUUGAUAGUGCAGUUUGUUUCGAAAUUGGUUCGUGCUGAAUGGCUUACUAAAGGCCGUGCAGCAAAAGCAACUAACAAAAUUCUAGGAAACCCGUCAGAUAAAUCAGUAUUCUUUAAUGAAAAUCUCACAGCUUUUAAUAAAAGAUUGUUCGUGCAAACCAGGAAUAAGGCAAGAUCUCUUGGUUAUAAGUUUGUAUGGACCUCUCAGGGUAGAAUUCUUGUAAGAAAGGAACCUUAGGCACAAGUAAUUCGUAUUAAAUGCGAAUCAGACCUUGACAAAAUUAUUUAAAGAUAUUUGUACUCGUAGUACUUUGUAGUUACAUAAUUUGUUUUCUUAUUCCUGUUAUCUUCUAUUUCAAAUCUCUUUUUAUAUAAUGUGUAUUAUCACCCUAUUCUCUGUAAUGCAUGAACAUACUAUCCCAGGAGCUCAGCCCCAUCUAUGCAAAAUUUGAUUUUAAAUUUCCAAUUAUCAGGCUUGAGAUACAAUUUAAACAAAACAUUUGUUCGAGUGGAAAAGAAUCAGCAUGAAAUUCUGUACAAUUUCCAGUGGAAAAGAUUCAACAUGAAAAUCUCUACAAUUUAUGUUUAGUAACAUUUUCACCUAAAAUUGAAAAUGAGCUCGUAAUUCGAGAAAAUGUGAUUAUCCAAUUUGCAAACUGUUGGCA
rnacentral:misc_RNA from 1 species